rnacentral:sRNA from 1 species
UUUAAAAUUACGAAAAGUAAGGAAAUUCUUAUUUAAGCAAGGUUAUUAAGUGGACACUACGGUAUUUUUGGUACUCAUUGUAUCUGAGAGUCUAGAGAGAGUAAUAGAAUCAUAACAUUACUAUUCUAAAAUAGUAUCUUCAUUGUUUAACCCCUAUUCACCUCCUUUUCCUAUUGCAUUUGACUUUUUCUUAGAUAAAUCUGAAGUUAUUUUUUUUUUAAAUAAUCCUUUCUACAUGGGAGCAGUGUAUAUUAGGAAAUUUUCAAUUACUUUAGACCUGCGCCUUUGCAUUGUAGGUUAGAACCUACAAAAAUUCCAUACUUGCAAACCAUUUUAGAUUUGCCUUGUAUUCACACACCCCUGCAAAGUGGGUCUUUGCAAACAGGAAAGGUAAAAGAUUUAUUUUUACUGCAAAAUCAUGCCUUUAUAUAGGAUUGGUCUGUGGAUUAUUUCAGGCAUCAAUGAGUAGAUUUUUGAAGGAACCUUCAUAACACAGUUUUGGAGCUCUAUCUUCUGUAACACAUUUCCAACCUUUGGAUAUAGCCUUGAUUUUCCAGCUUUUAACCUGAUACCAAUAAAAAUGGACAAAGAUAAUAUCACAUGGAAUUAUUCUGAAGAGCCAGCUGCUGAGAAGUUCCAGGAGCUGUAAAUUAGACAAAAGCAUCCAUUUAUUUGGGAGUAAGUUACAAUAUGACUGUAGCUUAAAAAUAUAUAAUGAUUCAGGGAGGUAUUUUGAUGAACUUAUGUGGCAUUUAUUGUGAACUAUUGUAUGUUUAGUAUUACACUGUUUUCUUCUCAUGAUGUAAAGGUUCAAGCUUCUGCUAUCCUUUGAUGUGUGUUUGUUUUUAUGAAGACAGUGCAAUAAUUUUGUUUCCACUGCAUUUUAAGAUUUUUUAAAAAAUAACAUUUGUAAAUGAAUAUCGAAAUUAAAAAUAGUAACAUCAGUUUUUUUCUUCAAUAUACAGACUUCCUUUAAUAAGUGUUGCACUGGUUCAAGGUUGGGCAUUGGGUGGAGGAGCAGAAUUUACUACAGCAUGUGAUUUCAGGUUAAUGACUCCAGAGAGUAAGAUCAGAUUCGUCCACAAAGAGAUGGGCAUAAUACCAAGCUGGGGUGGCACCACCCGGCUAGUUGAAAUAAUUGGAAGUAGACAAGCUCUCAAAGUGUUGAGUGGGGCCCUUAAACUGGAUUCAAAAAAUGCUCUAAACAUAGGAAUGGUUGAAGAGGUCUUGCAGUCUUCAGAUGAAACUAAAUCUCUAGAAGAGGCACAAGAAUGGCUAAAGCAAUUCAUCCAAGGGCCACCGGAAGUAAUUAGAGCUUUGAAAAAAUCUGUUUGUUCAGGCAGAGAGCUAUAUUUGGAGGAAGCAUUACAGAACGAAAGAGAUCUUUUAGGAACAGUUUGGGGUGGGCCUGCAAAUUUAGAGGCUAUUGCUAAGAAAGGAAAAUUUAAUAAAUAAUUGGUUUUUCGUGUGGAUGUACUCCAAGUAAAGCUCCAGUGACUAAUAUGUAUAAAUGUUAAAUGAUAUUAAAUAUGAACAUCAGAAUU